AACGAACGCUGGCGGCAUGCCUAACACAUGCGAGUCGAACGAGACCUUCGGGUCUAGUGGCGCACGGGUGCGUAACGCGUGGGAACCUGCCCUUAGGUUCGGAAUAACUCCCCGAAAGGGGUGCUAAUACCGGAUAAUGUCUUCGGACCAAAGAUUUAUCGCCUUUGGAUGGGCCCGCGUUGGAUUAGCUAGUUGGUAGGGUAAAAGCCUACCAAGGCGACGAUCCAUAGCUGGUCUGAGAGGAUGAUCAGCCACACUGGGACUGAGACACGGCCCAGACUCCUACGGGAGGCAGCAGUGGGGAAUAUUGGACAAUGGGCGAAAGCCUGAUCCAGCAAUGCCGCGUGAGUGAUGAAGGCCUUAGGGUUGUAAAGCUCUUUUACCCGGGAUGAUAAUGACGGUACCGGGAGAAUAAGCUCCGGCUAACUCCGUG
rnacentral:rRNA from 1 species